rnacentral:rRNA from 1 species
CCUACGGGUGGCAGCAGUGGGGGAUAUUGCACAAUGGGGGGAAGCCUGAUGCAGCGAAGCCGCGUGGGUGAAGAAGGGCCUCGGGGCGUAAAGCCCUGUCAGCAGGGAAGAAAAUGACGGUACCUGAAGAAGAAGCCCCGGCUAACUACGUGACAGCAGCCGCGGUAAAACGGAGGGGGAAAGCGUUAUCAGGAUUUACUGGGUGGAAAGGGGGCGCAGACGGCGCUGCAAGGCAGGAGCGAAAGCCCGGGGCCCAACCCCGGGACUGCUCUUGGAACUGCGUGGCGGGAGUGGAGGAGGGGCAGGCGGAAUUCCUGGUGUAGCGGUGAAAUGCGUAGAUAUCAGGAGGAACACCGGUGGCGAAGGCGGCCUGCUGGACUGCAACUGACGUUGAGGCCCGAAAGCGUGGGGAGCAAACAGGAUUAGAUACCCCGGUAGUC